rnacentral:rRNA from 1 species
UACGUAGGGUGCAGGCGUUAAUCGGAAUUACUGGGCGUAAAGGGCUCGUAGGCGGCCAACUAAGUCCGACGUGAAAUCCCCAGGCUUAACCUGGGAACUGCGUCGGAUACUGGAUGGCUUGAAUCCGGGAGAGGGAUGCGGAAUUCCAGGUGUAGCGGUGAAAUGCGUAGAUAUCUGGAGAACACCGGUGGCGAAGGCGGCAUCCUGGACCGGCAUUGACGCUGAGGAGCGAAAGCCAGGGGAGCAAACGGG